AUGUGGGGCCCAGUUCCUCCUCCCCUGACUCUGGGCUGGCCAGGAUGACUCGCUUGUAACCAACGGAAUACGGUGGAAGGGACACUGCCCGAGUCAGGCCAGGCCGGAGGCUAUGCAGAUCCGCCUGGCUCUCAUGGGACACCAGCUCUCUGGACACUCUAUCCCGGGAACCCCCCUCUCCAGAUGCUGCCGCCGUGCCGUGGGAAGCCCGAGCCGUGUGAGAGGCCACGUGGAGGUUCUGGUGACAGGCACAGCGGAGCCGGCCCGCUGAGUCCCUCAGCCCAGGACCCGACAUACAGCCUUCUCCUCUUUGCAAUGAUUCCGGCUGCUUCUUCCUCUUUGGCCCUCAUCCCUUCUCUGCCUCUGCACUCGACCACCGCGAUGACAGAGGCCUCAUGAGUAGACCACCCCUCACAGAUGUUGGCUGGGAUCACCUCUCCGCCCACCUUUCCGUGAAGAGCCGACUAACCAUGCGCUCGGGGGCAGUUCCAGAGCAGGCAAGAUGGGGUGGCGUGAGCGCUCAGGGAUUUGGGAUACAGAGGUGCAGAGAACAGGGCGAUCGUGCUGAGGAGCAGAGGGAGAGGGAG
rnacentral:lncRNA from 1 species